rnacentral:rRNA from 1 species
UACGGAGGGGGCUAGCGUCGUUCGGAAUUACUGGGCGUAAAGCGCGCGUAGGCGGCUUUGUAAGUUAGAGGUGAAAGCCCGGAGCUUAACUCCGGAACUGCCUUUAAGACUGCAUCGCUAGAAUUGUGGAGAGGUGAGUGGAAUUCCGAGUGUAGAGGUGAAAUUCGUAGAUAUUCGGAAGAACACCAGUGGCGAAGGCGACUCACUGGACACAUAUUGACGCUGAGGUGGCGAAAGCGUGGGGAGCAAACAGG